rnacentral:lncRNA from 1 species
AUUUAUAUACUUGAUUUCAGCUUUUGCCUUAGAUGAGAAGACUGGCUAACUCUGGGAUAAGAGUGCCACCAAAAUUUUCACCCACAGAUUGGAAGCACAUCAAAAGAAAUCAUAUCUUCACGGAAGUCAUUUUUUUUUGGUUCCUGGCCUUUAGGGGCUGAAUCUGUUUAGAGAAGUAGAGAUGGAAAUCUCAAUCAAAACAGUUCUGAGUAUUUUACAUCAUUUAAAAAAAUUUGCAUCACUGAAGAGAAGGAACCCUAAUCAUUUGAAACUCUCACUUCUGCUUUGCAAGUUGUCUGCUGGCUAUAUUCAGUCCUCUUUGUCUUCUUGGUCUUAGGCAGGCAUGGGGUUAGUGGCCAGGGCAGAACUGGGAAUGGGACAAGUUUGUGUUCAUUCUUCUCCCUACCCUUGUAACAGCCUUAAUUUCUGUAUCUCUGUUUCCUAUCUGGGGUGCCCUCUAGUCCUCAUCUCUGAAGGGAAGGAACAAAGAGAUGAGUGAAUUCUUUACUCUUAGCUGUUAGUCAUCCACCGGCUUUUCCUCCAAGGGAUGUUUAGUGUUUUUAAAAGAACCUGAUGGUAGAACAGAAAAUCAGAGUUUAACCCAAGGUAUCACCCUUCUAAUGAUAGUAUUUCCUGUACUGCUAAGAGCAUAAUCUGGGGCUUGGUAGCCUCUCAGAGAUAGCACCUUGUGUUGUCCCCUUUAGGUUAGAGCUGCGGAACCAGCACCAGCCACUGAACAUGAAGAAGGUUUUGACUUUAUCUUUUUAAAUUUGCAUUAUUCAGACCCAUGUCAGAGUCCACGAAAAUUCUUGCAAAUGUGUUUUUGUAAGAGCUGGGUGUCACCCUGCUUCCCCGUAUUUGGUGUUGGCCAAUGGGAGAGUUAUGGGAAUGUCAUAUUCCUUCCUCAAAGCCACUUAAAGCUGUGCUAAAUUUGCAGGGUUUUUUUUUGAUAAUGCUUUCUCCUCAGGGUACUCUCUCAACUUACUCCCUUCAGGAAAAUUUCUUGAAUGAAUAGUCCACCAGUGCUGUCUCUGCUUUCUCAACACCAGAUCAUUCUGCAACCUCUUGCAAUUUGGCUGCUAUCUCUAGUCAUGUUACUAAGUUAUCUUUCUCAAAGAAUCUCCAUUGGUCACCCAACCAUCAUAGCCAUUGGUCUUCAGCCUUCACUUCUGACUGGUUAUUCUCUACCUGGGGGCAUUUUUCUUUCUUUUCUCCCUCUCUUCCUCUUCUUUGGCUGGCGUUACUUUUUUCAGUCUCUGAAGGGAAGCUCACUCCUAGGAGACUUGCUUAAUAGAAUGUUUAUCGCCUGCAUGUCUUUAGCAAAGAGGUGUCUGGAAUUCCCAUCUGGGAUUUAUUAGUCUAAAUAUUCAGGUGGUCCAGUGCCGGAUGUUAGUUCUUAACUUAAAGGAAACAAAGUUUCCAAUCCGAGGAUGGUGAGAUUGCUGCUGUUCUACAGUGGGCAGCCGCUGCUGGUGUCUUGCUUGCCCUGGAAAUGCCAUCAACUGAAAUGGAAUUUUGUUCAAUCCAUCUUAUUAAUAGUUCCUAAAGCAAUUGUGGUGGGGUUGAUAGGUGGCUAGUAAGGUUGCCUCUGUAAAGAUAAGCACAAUCCAUUAAUUAAGUCUGGAGUCCACUGGACUUCUACCGGGGAUGUUUGCAUUUGCUCGGCACUCUGUUUAUAAGGAUGUCGAAGGAAGUGCGUCCAUUCUGUGCAUGUUGUAAAACAGAAGGUUUGCAGCUGUCAGAUUUAUUUUUUUCUUGGCUCCUUUUCUGACAGAACUUUUGUAAACUUGAUAGUUUUAUAGAUUGUCGAAAAUUACUAACCUCGGUUCUGCAGAUGCCAUGCAGAUUUUCUUGUCUUGUUUUCUUUCUUUGAAGAUAGCAGAUAUUUAUGUACAUAGUUUCUUGUAAGGUACUUUUUGGGGAAGAGGAGAUUAAGAUUAUUCUUAUAUGCUAUCAUAAUUCAGUAUUAUGAAAUUAUUAAAUGAUUAUUUUAUUAGUUAUAUAGUGCUUUGAAAGUGUCCAGCAUGCAUUGUAUGCUCUAGAAAGGAGAACAAACAAAUGCAAGGUAUAAUCUUGUGUUUUAAAUAGCUUAUGGAGCUGCCUCAAAGACAACUAACAUCAAGAUUAUCAACUUUAAGUAUAGCACAAGUUCACUGUAGAAGUAUAGGUCCACUGUGGGCUUCAGUAGGCUUUUAAGAGGAGUUGGGACCUGAGUAUGGCUUUGGGUAGGGUAAAAAGCGGAUAUAACAGCUGAAAAAAUAGACCAGCAGCAGCUGCCCCCGCUGUGUGACCACACAGGGUGUCAUGAUUCAUCAUAAGGUUUGUCUCAAGUAAUUUCCAGUUAAUGAAAACAAGUGUCAAAAAUUUCUGAAUGAUUCCUUUUCAAACCACUCAUAUCUAUGUGUGUGUGGGCGCACAUUCAUGAUUUUGCCUCAAGUAGCAUCAUUCACACUCACUUGCAUUGCCAUUGCUUUCUUUGAGAGUGAGAAGUUGGUACUUCAGCUGGUGUAUUAGUCUGUUUUGCAUUGCCAAAAAGAAGAACCUGAGUAAUUUAUAAAGAAAAGAGGUUUAUUUGGCUCCUGAUUCUGCAGGCUAUGCAAGCAUGGCACCAGCAUCUGCUCAGUUUCUGUUGAGGCUUCAGGAAGUUUUUCCUCAUGGCAGAGGUGAAGAAGGAGCAGAUGUGUCACACAGAGAGGGAGCAAGAGAGAGGGGAGGAGGUACCAGGCUCUUUUAAAGAACCAGCUCUCGCAUGAACUCAUAGAGCAAGGACUCACUCGUUACCAUGGGGAGGGCACCAAGCCAUUCAUUAAGGAUCCACCUCCAUGACCCAAACACCUCCUAUCAGGCCCCACCUCCAUCACAUUUCAACAUGAGGCUUGGAAGGGACAAACAUCCACACUGUAAUAGCUGGCAUCCUGGGAAUGGGGCCUCACCCACAGCCUGUCCUAUUGGUGUUGCCUUCAUGGGUGCAAGGACUGAGGCAGCCAAUUCUUGUGUGGCAGGUAUGAAUUAACAUAUUUCUAGCCUCAGUGAGCAUUUGAAUUUUCAACCCACUGUCUUGUUUAAGGGAAACUAGCUUAAAAUCUGUUAGGCAACGCUAACUAGAGAUGAUGGCUUUACUGACUGCUGCAGGAAUGGAGAGAAAAAAAGGCCAAUCCAGGAAACAUUUUGAUGUGAGAUUAGAAAUAAGGGGAGACAGAGCAGCAUAAGUCAAAGAUAAUUGUAAGGUUUGUAGCCCCCAGUGCCUAAGUGAG